rnacentral:rRNA from 1 species
UGAAACCGUUUAGGGGUAAACCUGAGAAACCCGAAAGGUCGAAGGGAGAAAUUCAUUCGCGUUUCGUGGCAGGAGACGGACGGUCGAGCGACGGGUAGUAUAUUAAUACGCUAUCUCGCCUCUUCCGUUCGUUCGAACCGGCUGCGAACGCGUGCACUUUUCUCCUGGUAGGACGUCGCGAUCCGUUGGGUGUCGGUCUACGGCUCGCGGUGGAGCCCGUUCGUCGCGAUUCGCGUCGGACGGACCCGCGUUGUCCCGGCCGACUCGCUCGACGGUAUACGAAUGGUUCGAGGCCGCUCUUUCGAGAGCGUCCGACCGGCGACAAGUGCGCCGGAUGCGUCGACGACCGGACCUAGUGCCGAUCGCGACCUCCGGUGGCUGCUGGUCGUCGAGUUCUCGGACAGACCUCGCUCUCUUUUUAGAGAACCGAUCUGCGACGCUAUAGCUUUGGGUACUUUCAGGACCCGUCUUGUAACACGGACCAAGGAGUCUAGCAUGUGCGCGAGUCAUUGGGAAUCGCUAAACCUAAAGGCGCAAUGAAAGUAAAAGUCUUCCUAGCGAGGACCGAGGGAAGACGAGCGGUUUGCCCUUAAAAGCGGCCGCUCCGCACUCCCGGGGCGUCUCAUUCUCAUUGCGAGAAGAGGCGCACCAAGAGCGUACACGCUGGGACCCGAAAGAUGGUGAACUAUGCCUGGUCAGGACGAA